rnacentral:rRNA from 1 species
GUCUACGACCAUACCACAUUGGAAGCACGACAUUUCGUCUAAUCUGUCAAGUUAACGAAAGUUGGGCUUGAUUAGUACCUUUAUCGGAGAUAGCUGGGAAUUCCAACUGUUGUAGACGACA